rnacentral:rRNA from 1 species
GACGAACGCUGGCGGCGUGCUUAACACAUGCAAGUCGAACGGAAAGGCCCGGCUUUUGUGGGGUGCUCGAGUGGCGAACGGGUGAGUAACACGUGAGUAACCUGCCCUUGACUUUGGGAUAACUUCAGGAAACUGGGGCUAAUACCGGAUAGGAGCUCCGGCUGCAUGGUGGGGGUUGGAAAGUUUGGGCGGUUGGGGAUGGACUCGCGGCUUAUCAGCUUGUUGGUGGGGUAGUGGCUUACCAAGGCUUUGACGGGUAGCCGGCCUGAGAGGGUGACCGGCCACAUUGGGACUGAGAUACGGCCCAGACUCCUACGGGAGGCAGCAGUGGGGAAUAUUGCACAAUGGGCGGAAGCCUGAUGCAGCAACGCCGCGUGCGGGAUGACGGCCUUCGGGUUGUAAACCGCUUUCGCCUGUGACGAAGCGUGAGUGACGGUAAUGGGUAAAGAAGCACCGGCUAACUACGUG